rnacentral:rRNA from 1 species
AUUGAACGCUGGCGGCAGGCUUAACACAUGCAAGUCGAGCGAGCGGCGGACGGGAGAGUAAUGUCUGGGACAUUGCCUGAUGGAGGGGGAUAACUACUGGAAACGGUAGCACAAACCGCAUCCUAUCAGGUGUGCCAAGAUGGGUUUAGCUAGUUGGUGGGGGAAUGGCUCACCUAGGCGACGAUCCCUAGCUGGUCUGAGAGGAUGACCAGCCACACUGGAACUGCGCCACGGGCCAGACUCCUACGGGAGGCAGCAGUGGGGAAUAUUGCAGAAUGGGCGCAAGCCUGAUGCAGCCAUGCCGCGUGUGUGAAGAGGGCCUUCGGGUUGUAAAGCACUUUCAGCGAGGAGGCGUUACUCGCAGAAGAAGCACCGGCUAACUCCGUGCCAGCAGCCGCGGUAAUUC